AACGAACGCUGGCGGUAUGCUUAACACAUGCAAGUCGAACGAACAAAAUUGGGGCUUGCUCCAAUUUUAGUGAGUGGCAAACGGGUGAGUAACACGUGGGAAUCUACCUAUCAGUACGGAAUAACAUUUGGAAACAGAUGCUAAUACCGUAUAUUCUCCAAGGAGGAAAGAUUUAUCGCUGAUAGAUGAGUCCACGUAGGAUUAGGUAGUUGGUAGGGUAAUGGCCUACCAAGCCGACGAUCUUUAGCUGGUCUGAGAGGAUGAUCAGCCACACUGGGACUGAGACACGGCCCAGACUCCUACGGGAGGCAGCAGUGGGGAAUAUUGGACAAUGGGCGAAAGCCUGAUCCAGCAAUACCGCGUGAAUGAUGAAGGCCUUAGGGUUGUAAAGUUCUUUUAGUUGGAAAGAUAAUGACGGUACCAACAGAAAAAGCCCCGGCUAACUCCGUGCCAGCAGCCGCAGUAA
rnacentral:rRNA from 1 species